CCUACGGGAGGCUGCAGUGGGGAAUAUUGGACAAUGGGGGGAACCCUGAUCCAGCCAUGCCGCGUGUGUGAAGAAGGCCCUCGGGUUGUAAAGCACUUUCAGUGAGGAAGAACGCCUGGUGGUUAAUACCCAUCAGGAAAGACAUCACUCACAGAAGAAGCACCGGCUAACUCCGUGCCAGUAGCCGCGGUAAUACGGAGGGUGCGAGCGUUAAUCGGAAUUACUGGGCGUAAAGCGCGCGUAGGUGGCUUGAUAAGCCGGUUGUGAAAGCCCCGGGCUCAACCUGGGAACGGCAUCCGGAACUGUCAAGCUAGAGUGCAGGAGAGGAAGGUAGAAUUCCCGGUGUAGCGGUGAAAUGCGUAGAGAUCGGGAGGAAUACCAGUGGCGAAGGCGGCCUUCUGGACUGACACUGACACUGAGGUGCGAAAGCGUGGGUAGCAAACAGGAUUAGAUACCCGUGUAGUC
rnacentral:rRNA from 1 species